UCCGAUAAUGGCAAACCCGGAGAAAUCCGGGGACGCAAAGCCAUGGGUCCUCGGUUCCGCUGAACGCGGCACACGGAUCGCCAGGUCGCCGAAG
rnacentral:ncRNA from 1 species